GUAAUAGAUUUAUAGGCACAAGGGCCCAUUGAUUACAUUCUAUAAACAUACAUGAGGUUAUAUGAAAAAACAUAGACCUGAAAACAUAAGAAGAGACCAAAAAAAAAGGUCAAUCCUCAAUCCUGAAUGAUAAUAAGUCAUUCAGAGAGAUGCUCAGGUCUACAAAAGGUUCACAGGUGAAGAUACAAAGAUGACAAGUGUGCACAUGCUCUCUAGAGAACCAGCAGCAACUUAUCAGGUUUAUUUCAAUAAUGAUCCUUCCGCAGGUUCACCUACGGAAA
rnacentral:misc_RNA from 1 species